rnacentral:rRNA from 1 species
UGAGCAAUCUGCCCUUCUCUUCGGAAUAAGCGUUGGAAACGACGUCUAAUGCCGAAUACGACCUCCUUUCGCAUGAUCGGAGGUGGAAAGCUCCGGCGGAGAAGGAUGAGCUCGCGGCCUAUCAGCUAGUUGGUGUGGGUAAUGGCCCACCAAGGCGACGACGGGUAGCCGGCCUGAGGAGGGUGACCCGGCCACACGUGGGACUGAGACACGGCCCAGACCUCCGUACGGGA